UAAGUCGUACUUUAACACAUUCGGAUUUUUUGGUUAAGUCGUUCUUGAAAUCGGAAAGGUUUUUGUUAAGUCGUACUUAAAAUCAUUCGUAUUUUGUUAAGUCGUACCAGGAAUAAUUCGAUUUUUUCAUCUUUUUAUUUUAGUUAUUCUUGUUAUUGGUUUAAGAGCUCUGCUUCUUACAGGAACUUCCAGCUUUACUUCCGACAUUAACGGAAGACCCACUAUUUGCUUUGCAACGAGCUUUGCUCUAGUGUUUUUAUUACUUUUUUAUUGAUAAGUUCGUUUGAUUAUUGACUUUUCUUAUAUGAGUGUGUUCGAGUCUGAUUUUCUUACACUGUGUUCGAAUCUGAUUUCUAACGGUACAUUUGUAAAAUAUUGUCAUCAAGACGACAAACAAUGAUUUGUGACGUAUUGACCAUUAGCAUGACUGGCUGGAUAUAGACAAUUAUGAAUUAAUUAUUAUUGAGUGAUGUUAAAAGUAUAAAUACGAGAGAGAGAGAGAGAGAGAGAGAGAGAGAGAGAGAGAGAGAGAGAGAGAGAGAGAGAGAGAAGCGUCUGUUGUUUGUUGUGUGUGUGUUGAUGUUCAGGGACUUGAACAGAACUUGAUAUCAAUUGAUCAACCAUUUGAUUUGGUAACAUUUUGAGUUUUCAAUGACAUUGAUAUAGAUCUUAUUAGAAGAUAUUCAGAAUGGCAACUCACUCUGUAUAACCUAAGUGGGGAUAACACUUCAUUGGAAUUAUAUCUUAAGUGUUAAGUGCUUAAAUAAAUUCACGCAUGCUGUACACAUCAAUAUAUACGAUGGCUUAGAUUUGUCAGUCAGGGUCAGGCCUAAUUUGGAUCUCAGUCUCACAUUCCAUAUGUAAAAAUGAGAAUGAAAUUAAAAUGAGCUCAUCU
rnacentral:sRNA from 1 species